AUUGAACGCUGGCGGCAGGCCUAACACAUGCAAGUCGAGCGAGCGGCGGACGGGUGAGCAAUGUAUGUGGAUCUGCCCGAUAGAGGGGGACAACUACCGGAAACGGUUGCCACAACCGUCUUGUAUCGGAUGAACCCAUUUGGGAUUAGCUAGUAGGUGGGGUAAAGGCUCACCAAGGCGACGAUCUCUAGCUGGUCUGAGAGGAUGAUCAGCCACACUGGAACUGAGACACGGUCCAGACGCCUACGGGAGGCAGCAGUGGGGAAUAUUGCACAAUGGGCGCAAGCCUGAUGCAGCCAUGCCGCGUGUAUGAAGAAGGCCUUAGGGUUGUAAAGUACUUUCAGCGGGGAGGCGUUACCCGCAGAAGAAGCACCGGCUAACUCCGUGCCAGCAGCCGCGGUAAUAC
rnacentral:rRNA from 1 species